rnacentral:rRNA from 1 species
AUACGUAGGGUGCAAGCGUUAAUCGGAAUUACUGGGCGUAAAGCGUGCGCAGGCGGUUUUGUAAGACAGAGGUGAAAUCCCCCGGCUCAACCUGGGAACUGCCUUUGUGACUGCAAGGCUAGAGUACGGCAGAGGGGGAUGGAAUUCCGCGUGUAGCAGUGAAAUGCGUAGAUAUGCGGAGGAACACCGAUGGCGAAGGCAAUCCCCUGGGCCUGUACUGACGCUCAUGCACGAAAGCGUGGGUAGCAAACAGGAUUAGAUUCCCUGGUAGUCCACGCCCUAAACGAUGUCAACUGGUUGUUGGGUCUUCAUUGACUAAGUAACGAAGCUCACGCGUGAAGUGGUCCGCCUGGGGAGUACGGCCGCAAGGUUGAAACUCAAAUGAAUUGACGGGG